GGCCUGGUAGUGUAACGGCAACACACUCGACUAUGUCCCGUAGCAUGCAAUGAAUCUCGCAGAGAGAUCCUUGUUCGAUUCAAGGUCAGGCCG